CACUGGCUGACGAGCGGCGGACGGGUGAGUAAUGUCUGGGAAACUGCCUGAUGGAGGGGGAUAACUACUGGAAACGGUAGCUAAUACCGCAUAACGUCGCAAGACCAAAGUGGGGGACCUUCGGGCCUCAUGCCAUCAGAUGUGCCCAGAUGGGAUUAGCUAGUAGGUGGGGUAACGGCUCACCUAGGCGACGAUCCCUAGCUGGUCUGAGAGGAUGACCAGCCACACUGGAACUGAGACACGGUCCAGACUCCUACGGGAGGCAGCAGUGGGGAAUAUUGCACAAUGGGCGCAAGCCUGAUGCAGCCAUGCCGCGUGUAUGAAGAAGGCCUUCGGGUUGUAAAGUACUUUCAGCGAGGAGGAAGGCAUUAAGGUUAAUAACCUUGGCGAUUGACGUUACUCGCAGAAGAAGCACCGGCUAACUCCGUGCCAGCAGCCGCGGUAAUACGGAGGGUGCAAGCGUUAAUCGGAAUUACUGGGCGUAAAGCGCACGCAGGCGGUCUGUCAAGUCGGAUGUGAAAUCCCCGGGCUCAACCCUGGGAACUGCAUUCGAAACUGGCAGGCUAGAGUCUUGUAGAGGGGGGUAGAAUUCCAGGUGUAGCGGUGAAAUGCGUAGAGAUCUGGAGGGAAUACCCGGUGGCGAAGGCGGCCCCCUGGACAAAGACUGACGCUCAGGUGCGAAAAGCGUGGGGAGCAAACAGGAUUAGAUACCCUGGUAGUCCACGCCGUAAACGAUGUCGACUUGGAGGUUGUGCCCUUGAGGGCGUGGCUUCCGGAGCUAACGCGUUAAGUCGACCGCCUGGGGAGUACGGCCGCAAGGUUAAAACUCAAAUGAAUUGACGGGGGCCCGCACAAGCGGUGGAGCAUGUGGUUUAAUUCGAUGCAACGCGAAGAACCUUACCUACUCUUGACAUCCAGAGAACUUAGCAGAGAUGCUUUGGUGCCUUCGGGAACUGUGAGACAGGUGCUGCAUGGCUGUCGUCAGCUCGUGUUGUGAAAUGUUGGGUUAAGUCCCGCAACGAGCGCAACCCUUAUCCUUUGUUGCCAGCGGUCCGGCCGGGAACUCAAAGGAGACUGCCAGUGAUAAACUGGAGGAAGGUGGGGAUGACGUCAAGUCAUCAUGGCCCUUACGAGUAGGGCUACACACGUGCUACAAUGGCAUAUACAAAGAGAAGCGACCUCGCGAGAGCAAGCGGACCUCAUAAAGUAUGUCGUAGUCCGGAUUGGAGUCUGCAACUCGACUCCAUGAAGUCGGAAUCGCUAGUAAUCGUAGAUCAGAAUGCUACGGUGAAUACGUUCCCGGGCCUUGUACACACCGCCCGUCACACCAUGGGAGUGGGUUGCAAAAGAAGUAGGUAGCUUAACCUUCGCGAGGCGAUC
rnacentral:rRNA from 1 species